GCCUACGGGGGGCAGCAGUAGGGAAUUUUCGUCAAUGGGCGCAAGCCUGAACGAGCAAUGCCGCGUGCACGAGGAAGGUCUUCGGAUCGUAAAGUUCUGUUGAAGGGGAAAAAGAGCGGAGAGAGGAAAUGGUCUCCGAUUGAUAUUACCCUUCGAGGAAGUCACGGCUAACUACGUGCCAGCAGCCGCGGUAAUACGUAGGUGGCGAGCGUUAUCCGGAAUGAUUGGGCGUAAAGGGUGCGUAGGCGGCCUGCUAAGUCUGGAGUGAAAGGUACCGGCUCAACCGGUACAGGCUCUGGAAACUG
rnacentral:rRNA from 1 species